rnacentral:lncRNA from 1 species
AAAUGUUGAAAUAACCACCUAAAAGUGUAACGUGACCAAACAUGUCCUCUCUCUCUUCUUCUCUCUUUAGACCAUUGUCCCAUCACUCUUUACGGUGAAGUGGCAUGUCUAAUAAGGACCAUGAAAAUCACUUCACUUUAAUUCCAAGAGUCAUCCCCUUUGAUCUCCAUUAAAUACCUCUAUUUUCCUACUUCAUCUACAUAAUCUAUUAACGUAUAAGCUUUUUUGUGAACUUUCAUCUCCACAGCAACGAAUUCUCUUGUCCAUCUUUAUUUCUCCCCUUUUAGUUCAAAGCCCUCACUUAUUGCCAAAAUGUAUCUUCUUCGUAUCUAGUUAAAACAUCUUCAGAGGAAAAUGCUCCCAUUAUUAAACAAUCUCUAAAAAAGCCCUCACUGGUUUUUCAAAACCUUUUCUCAGAAGAAAAUCCAUUACCAACUUUGGUCACUGAAGGACCCUUUGGGUCAACUAUCAGUGAAAAAGAACCAAUGAUAGACACUCAAAUCUCUUCGUUGAGCGUAGAAAUAGAAACCUCUGAAAUUAUCCCUCCAUUUUCCAAAUCCACGUCCUAAUCACUCUCCAUUAUCUUUCUUGAGAGUACCCCAUAUAGCUUUCUUCCUGAGUCAAACGUCAUACCUAAACUGUCUAAGAGACUAUUUCCUUUGGCCAUUGUUGAACCUCCUGAGGUAGAAGAAAGUUUUUUUGAAGGGGAAUUACCUGAGGGGCAUGGAAAUACCCCAAGUAGUGUUAAGGCGGGUGCUGAUUGGGUAGAGAUAGUCUAAUAAAGCUAGCAUAAGGUUCUCCAUUGAUUUUUGAUUCUCCUCCUAAGUCUCCUAGUUCAAAAUACGAUGAUACCCCUAUUUCUACAGGGGUGGUUAAGAAAGUUGUUCAUCUUCUAGUGGAGGAUAAUGAGGGGGAAGACGCUUUUGCCAAUCACUCCUGGAAUAAAGUAGGGAGAAGAGGAUAUUCAGGAAAAUAGCAGGUUUUUGAGAAGCCUGUUCAAUAAUCAUACAAUACUCGAGGGGUAGAGCAAAAGUUAAUGAGUGAUACAUUUAAGGAAAGGAAUCGAACCACUACUAGGAAAAGAAAUGCCAAGAAAAAGGCUGCAAGUGAGAAACCUAUCUCGCUUCCUGAAAAGUAAUGGAUGUGAAAGUGGAAGAUCAAAAUAAGACAAUUAAAAUUGAUGAUGAUAUUGUGAUUGCUGCUUAUAGAGAGGGUAAAAGGAUGGAAGUUUCAAAAUCUGCGAAGCCUACAACACCCAAGACAAAGGGUGCCAGUAAGAAAAAACACACACCAAUCAAACAAAGAAGGUUUUUUUGGGGAUCUGGUACCGAGGGUGUCUUGUAAGAACCUGAAGGGACUGGUCCACUGGUUGAGGGACUUGGUUCCUCCAAAAAAAAAAGAAAGAUUCAAGAGGUUGCUCCUGGUCUCACAAGGGACAAGAGGAACGAGAUCCUUAAAUUCCAAAAGGUGCUGAGUGGAAGGGUCUUUGACACAAGAAUUUGAGAUAAACUUGGAAUGACUGAGAUUGUUCAAUAUGUUGAAUACUAAGUUUGGCUGUACAUUUUUUAGACUCGUGCACCAAUGGUAUAUGAAGAUGAAGUCAAGAACUUCUUCUUCACAUUAUAAUAUGUUGUUUAUCUAUCUAGUCUAACUUCAAUGGUGCAUGAAGUUUAGAUAUUUCUGUAUGAAAAGUUACUUGGGCAUAUCAUUGGUGUGCCUGUUGAUGGGAUCAAUUCAGUCUAAAGAAAAUAACCUUCUCUUGCCUUUGUACAGUCUGCUUCUAAAGCCGAUGGAGAUUCUAAGACUGAAGUCAAAAAAAAGUUUCUAAAAGGUGAAUUCCAGCUUCUCUUUGAAUUUGUUAACAAGGUACUGCUUCCCCACUCAGAGAAACGUAUAUUAUCCCCUGAAUUCCAGCUUCUUUUUGAAUUUGUUAACAAGGUACUGCUUCCCCACUCAGAGAAACGUAUAUUAUCCCCUGAAACAGACCUAUUUUUGAUGGAAACUCUUAGUAAACUUAAGAUGAUCAAUCUACCUGCUCUAAUUCUUGAGCAUUUACAUAAGGUGUUGCUGUCACGACCUAAGCCAGGGCCCUGGCCGUAACGAGCAUCCCAAACAAUAGAGGCCCGGGCGCCCUUCUACAUUUGGUAAUCAUGCACAAUACUCAUACAAUAAAAAAAGGAUGCAGAAAUAUAAAUCAUUACAGAAUUAUGAUUAUGAUUUGAGUUAAGCAUAUUAAUACGAAAGAAGAUCCAUCAACAUCUAGACAACAUCUAUUUCUGUCAGCGAAAUCUCUAAUACAUACCAAAAUUAACCAACUAUCUGAAACUGGGACAAGGUCCCAAGUGGACCUAAACCAAAGUAAAUAACGAGUGACUGAAAGAAAUAGGCCUUCCAAAAUAAAGAAGGCUCACCAACUGUACCCUUCACUUCUACCUGAAUUACUCUACGGCUUAGCAGGACCAAUAGACUGAGCCUCAGACCUUGAAAUAUAGGGGGUCAAUACAAUUGUACUUAUAUGCAAAGCAAUCCAAAAUAAUUAAUUUUUACGUAUAUAACCCAAGUUUGCUGCAAGGGUUGAAGUAUCUGAAUCUGAUACACCCCAAGGAACUAGGCCAGCGUAUAAUCCCUCUUGGGAAAAUAAUAAACCUGUAUCGGCAAAACAUGGUUUUGGGCAAUGAAUCAUAUAACUUGCACCUACUUUGGGUAACCACCUAACUCUCUUAGUGCCCAUUUUUAACCUGUUCUAACCAUGCAUCUUUCUGAAUUCAAAAGCUGAAAAUUUGAAAUGAAAUCUGUAUUCUAUUCUGAGUUUUAUCAUGGCCUUAUCUAAUUUGGUAUCAUCAUACCAAGAAUUGUAAGUCAUAUAUCUGAGCCAUAAAAUGCCAUGUAUGAUUCUUUCAUUCUAAAAUAAUGUUCAGGCCACCCAAACAUGCAUAUAGUAUAGGAAAAUUCAUGUUUCAAAUUACAAGUCAAAAUCAUGCAAAGGUUUUUUCCAUCCAUUCAACAAUUUAAACAAGUGGUGGCCAAUUUCUCAAAACAUUCAUGAAAUCCUUUCAUUUAUCAUUUUUGAAAUUUAAAUCAUAAUAAAAUUUCUCUCUUCAAUUCUCAAUCAUCAUAAAAUUCAAGUAAGAUAAUAAGGCUCUUGACUCAUUCUUUAAAUCAUGCAAUUUAGAAUUCCAUAACUUGUAAAUCAAGUAGUAACACAAUAGUAGAGGGAAAAGAUUCGAUGAUUCAUGCUCUUAAUUCAUAUUUCAAGGAUUCAACACAAACAUACAUAUAUACUAGUCAAAUCACUUUUAAGGGAAGGUCUCAAGACCAAAACAAUACUAUCAAUGGUUUCAGAAGCAUGAUUAUAAAUUUUAAAUCCAAAACUCUUUUUGUAAGUUCAUGAUUUCUAAACAUUUAACAUAUUUAAGAAGAAUUUACUAUGCCCAUGUAGUUUUAGGAAACCCCACGUACCUUAGGUUUCGUAGAAAUCACAAAGAAAUUUUGAAAAGAUAAGCUUGAGUUCCCAAACCCUAGUUGUUUUUCUCCUAUUGUGUUCUUGAUUUGAAAAAUGAAGUCCAAUUCUUGAAACUUUCUUGAGAAUCUCGAACUUGAAAGGAUUGAAUUCUAGAUUACUUGGAGGAGAAGAGUUGAAUUGUGUUCUUGGGAAAAGGGAGGUUUUUACAUGAGUUGAUUUGAAGAAGAUGGGCAAAUAAUGCCCCUCUUUGGGUUAUAAUUCAUGUUUGGACGACUGGGGAUGGGGGAAAGGACUAAACUACCCCUUGGCCUCUCUUUCCCAUGUAAAUGACCAUCGUGGCGUGAUUCCCAAAAACAAAAAUGAAACUCGAAUCGCGACUCCCAGGAACGGGUAUGAAACUCGCGUCGCGACCUUAUCGCGAUAGCUCACUGCCUCACAUGAAAAAUGACAUAACUUUUCACUCGGGUAUCUGAUUUUAGCGAAAUUAGUAUCGUUGGAAAGCUAAUUCAAUUAUCUACAAUUUGGUGGUAUUAAUAUGCUAAAUUAUAUAUAUAAAAAAGGUUAUACUCGUUCAAAGAUGACCCUUGUAGUAUCAAAUUCCAAACUUUGGGCAAAUCAUAGGGUCUUAGCUCAACUUGGCACUAAAUGAUUUCUAUGAACUCUUUUCACCUCAUAAUAACUUCAUACACUAGGAUAAGGAUCAUGACACAUGAAUUUAAAUAUAAACCAUGGGAUUAGAGAUUACGCAUGUAGGAAUGACGGUUUGCUUUCUAGCUUGAAAAAUGUGAGGUAUUAUAGUUACAUUUCAAGGAUAGAAAGCAUGGGCUUCCUUACGAAUACAUCCUCACUAAGGUUGACAAAAAUUUCAAAAUUGAAUGUAUGGAGGAGUUCAAGGGACUGCAAAACAAAUGUUUACUAUGACCACAUUGAUUGAAAAUGAGUGCUUGGAAAGAAAAUUUGGGACCAAGUCCCAAGUAUCAUAGUUGUUAGAUAUUCAGGAGCACCUCAGUGACGAGUUGGAGGAGAUGAGAUUGGAAGUGGCCACACGUGAUGUUGAGAUCUCUCAGUCGAAGGCUAUGAUACAACAACUGAUGUCUGAGGGACCCGGUGCCUCUACUGGGCUGAGGGGAUAGAAAUCACUGCACUUACUAAUGAGAUCUUGAGUCUAUAAGCUGAGGUCAAGGAUCCCGCCAAAUACUUGUUGAAUGCUGAUAGUGCAGAGAGUGCUCGAAUGGAACUACUUCUUAAUAUCCUAGCCCCCAAACCUCCUUUUACCUAGGAUCAACUCCUUCUAAGCCUUGUGUAUCUCUUGUUUUGUUUUCCUGUUUUGGUUCCUUUCUUCUUUGUCUCUGUCUAUUGUGGCACUUUUGGUUGUUUUAAUGUUUUACACUUUACAAAGUAACUGGUGCUAGCUUCUUGUUAUUGAAGUAUCUUCUCUUGGUUUUGUCUACUACAUGCCUUGUGUCUCUCUAUUUUAUUCAUGUAAGUGCAGCCUCAAUGGCCAUGCGUUAACUUGUCUGCAUAAUUAUUCUCAUUGUUUACCGAUGAUCUUUCUUAAUGAUGCCAAAAAGUAAAUGUUACUGGUAUUGGUAGUAGAGGGACUUGGUGCUAUCGAUAAGAGGACUGUGCUAUAUGGGCAAGUGGUUAAGUGGUCCAAACGAUAGGGGGGAUAGUUUUUCAUUAUCAAAAAGGGGAAAAAUAUUACCCCUCUAAGGUUUUGAUGAUCUGCAAACUAUUCCACAAAGGACCUGAUAGACAUCCUAUUAUUUUCCAUGGGACAUGGUCUCAGUUUAAGUAUUCCUUGACAAUGACACGUCUGACUACAGCUGGAAGCUGUACUUUCCUACAGAAAGUUGGUGGCCCGACAUUAAAGAAGCCGGACCUUGACCAAUAAGAAAACACCUAGGUUCUUUUGUCUCAUAUAUAAGAAUCCUUUGAUCACAACAAAACCUUGUUUUUGCAAGCAUUAGGAUUGAAUUAAUCAAGAAGCAAAAGUUGCUCAAGAGCACAGUCUACACAGGGGCCUGAUUGCUCGUUCAUCGUAAGUCUAGUGUGUGUGUUGUAUUAUUGGGUCUUUUGGUUUUAUAUUGUAAAUCCACUCCUGAUUAUAAAGGAUAGUUGAUGUGUAGCUUGUCCAUGUCUUAGUUUGAGUCGAAGAAACUAGAGUUGGUUGUUCGAGUCGGGUAUAAGUGGGUCAGGUAUUUGUUCGUUUCUUUCAAGUGUUGGGUCCUGGGUAGAGUUGCCUAGGAUGUGUGACUAUAGUUAGUCAACUGUUAGUGUGUUAGAGUUAUCACACUUGUCUUGUGGUAGAGUUGUCACAAGAGCUAGUGAUUAUAGGAGUUUGUAAUCACUUGGUGGCUUGAAGAAGAGUGGAGUUUGGAAAUUGUGAUGGCAGAUCAUGGUUUUCACUUCCCUUGAGCAAGGAAGUUUCCACAUAAAACUGUUAUGUUCUUUACUUUAAUGCAUUAUUGUUUCUUCAGUUAUUAUUUACUGUACUCAUAAGUUUAGGGACCUGGUACUGUUGUGUUCUGUGGACUCAGAUAUUCCAUCAGGUAUGUUGUUGUUGUUUAAGUUAAUAGUUGUACAUGAAAAGUUAAAAUAUAAGUUUAUGUGAUGAGACAAUGACUUGUUGUAUGAGAAUUAACAAGCAAAAAUAGAACUAAUCGCCUAAAUACUUGAAUUAAGUGAAGAAGCAAAAUAAUAUUAGUUAUCACCUAUAUUGGUUCAGAUGUCUCCUCUUGGUCGCUUGGAUAUUUUCUUGAAAAAUAUGAACUUAAAAUGAAGAAGUGAAUCAGUUAGUUUCUCACUUUUCUAUCUGCACUCUUGAUGGCUGAGUUGCUCCUUAAAAACAAUGUUUGUUCAAUUUCGAUAAUUGCUAAAACUCUUAGAAUCUUGAAGACAUAAUGAUAAAAAAAUAUGUCGUAAAUUUGAUUCUCACCAUAAAAUGAAAACACAUUGAUGAUAAGUAACAUUUGUUAUCAUUCAGUGAUAACUGCCAAAAGUUCAUAAUCACUUACGAUCAUUUACUCUCAAACACGUGUUGCAAAAGAAACGUAUUUGAGGGAGAUUGAAAAACUUUGCACCACUUUAGAAUGAUAGUUAUAUCUCACCGAACCCGAGCUAGUACCUCUCACAAAAGGGCGAUACUUGCUAAAUUGAACCAUCAAUAUAUAGGUGAAGACAGAGAAAUAAAGAGGAACAAAAUUGAAUAAUAAAUAAGAUUUGGAUAUAAUCAAAUUCGCCAUAACCCAGUUUGAGUCCUUCAUUGUAAGUCAAUUAACAAGAAAAAAUGCAUCUAUUCCUUUAAGAACUUGAAUUAAGUAAAGAAGCAAAAUACUAUCACCUAUAUUGGUUCAAAUGUCUCCUAUCUGUUGCUUAGACAUACCCGUAAACUUGAAACUAAAAUAAAGAAGUGAAUUUAGAGUGCAUGAAUUUGACAUAAAACAUAGUCAUUCUCCAUAGUGCAGUUGGCUAAUAGUGGUUGCUAGAAUUUGUGUAUAUUGUCUAAUAUAUAUGUUAUAGUAUCACAUAAGAGUUCCAAAAUUUGAACUGCCAGACUUAUGAAUGAGAGUCUUUUAUCAAUAUGGCCAGACUGUGAAGAGUUCUGCAUUUUUGCACCAAGUAAUGAAGAGUGGCACUUAUAUAAUUUACCCUUGAUUCCUCAAGUCUGUUCUAAUAUGACAAAGACAUUGUAUUACAUUUCAACAACAGUAAUUGCUCCCUAGUCCUUCAGUAGCUGUAGUUGAUUAGCCUUGUAGUUCUCUGUUCCUUAUUUGAAGAAUAUUCUGAUAAUUUGAGCAGUAUCUUAACAUUCCAUGCUUGUUCUCCAGCUAUGUUCUUAGACUUUUGGUAGGUACACCAAUUAGUUUGGGAAAUUUCUGUUUUGAAGCCAGGUCAACAAAGGAAAAGAGUGUAAUAUACUUAAGUUUCCUGAAAUACUGUUUUGCUCAAAUGUUCGUUACCUUUGCUUUCUUUGCCUUGGAACUCCACUCAUAUCUUUGAACGAUAACUAUAAGCACUUCUAUGCACAAUACAAUGUGAUCACAGUUGUUUUGAUCCUAUGGCUAAUUAAUGAAUAAAUAUGACUGACUUAUUUAAUACUGCUUGUGAUAGAUGCAUAUAGUGCAUGCGUUUUUAAUGGGGAACCUUGUGGCAUAUAGCCAAGAGAUAUUGUACGAUGCUAAGUUUGAAGAUAUUGACUUUGUCAACUGCACAUUCACCGUUUUCUUUAAUUUACUGGCUAUAGUGAUCCAUGCUGCGAGACUGUACCUGUAGAGUGUAGAAGUUGAACAAUACAGACACAAUUAGAGCUUUGAUGCACUUGGAACUACAUAAUAAAGAGAGAGUAGAAUGUGCACCUUAGGAAAUGCGAACUGUAAAUGAUGAACAAAUAUUCCUUUAUGUCUACAUUUUACUGAAUUUGGACUUUAUUAGUCUAAAGCAAAAUGCUUUGAAUAUUUCUUGGCAAAUACUGAUUGUUGAGUACAUUUACCCCAUACUAAAUCUUAAAUAGAACACACAUAAAUAUUUGUCCCUUUUUUACCCUUCAAGAUAGUGCAAAAAAACUACUUGGACUUUAAGAUGAUCAGUCUAUUACCUACUUAAUCCAAAAUUGAGCACAUUGAACUGUUAUAAGAACCAUAUGUAAGAGCUAUUUCGGGUGUAGUUUGACAAAUGCUCGCUCAACAAUUUUACUUUAUUGCACAGAUGUUAUUAAAAUAGUUUCGAUAUAAAAGAAAAUAUCUCCUUUAUUUGCUGCUAGCUCUUUGCAUUCGAUAUAGGCACACAUGUAUUUGUUACUACUGGUAUGUUGAUAGCUCCAAACCUAUUGGCGACUUCGCCAAGAAACAUUCACUGUUGACCUCACGACACUAAGGGGGGUGGAUUUAGGAAGGUGGGAGAUGAUAUUUGGUUUCGGUCGCUGGGAUAGAGGGUUGUUUCAUGGUGCUGCUGGUUUGUUGGGACUUGGGAGAGGACCACUUUUCUUUGCCUCUCAACUUCAAUCUUUAUAUGGUCAUUCUUUUUCGUACCUCCUUACGGAUAGAAAGAGAAAUUUUAGUGGAAGAUGCAAACUGACUUUUGGUAAAGAUUAGGACCUUUCGAAGCACCCACAAUGGAAUUUUACUUCUGGUUGGUGGCAAAGAAAAUCAUGCUUUCUACUGAAUGCAGAUAAAAUUUGUCAUAGUUAGAGGAGAGGUAUUGUAACGACCCAUCCCGUCCUUAUAGUUCUGCCAGUGGUGUAAGAGGGGGUAGAGUUACCCUUAGGAUGAGAGUUGUUGAUUAAUUGCCUCACUUACUGCAGUAAAAGUUGAACUAGUUGCUAGACAUUAUCCAGUUUUUUAUCCAUGUUGGACAUUAUCUAGUUUCUUUAAGUCAUGUUCUCUUAACUUAGUUUAGUGACUGAUUUUUAAAUGUUAGUGGUUUAAUUGUUUUGGAUAUUGCUGAACGUGGAAUCAUGUACAAAGUAGUGGUUUAAUUAUAGGCUUUAGUUAUUGUAUUUUUUUUAGUAUUUAAGCACCACUUCAGAUUAAUGAAAAAUCAACCUUUGUGCAGUAAAUUAUUUGUUCUCUUCUUUCUUUCUUUGUUUUCACUUCAAAGAGUUAAAGUUAACCUUACAACUCCAACAAAUUGGUAUCAAGAGCUCUUUUCUUGAAGGACCUGCAUUUGAGGGAAACAUAUCUUUCUCUUCUUGUUUUUUGUUCCUAUGGAUUCGGAUACUCCUUUCAUUGCACUAGCACCACCUGUCUUCAAAGGAAUCACAAGGAAAAGAAAACAAGAAAAUCAAAGGAUAGAGCAACGUUAUUCGCUGUAGUCUCAUCUGAAAUCUUUGUCAGGAUUAUGACAUUGAAAUCAGCUUUUGGGGUUUGGAAUUUCCUAAAGAAAGAAUAUGAAAGAGAUGAACGGAUCAAAGGUAUGCGUACUCUUAACCUGAUCCGAGAAUUUGAACUUCAGAAGAUGAAGGAUUCAGAGACAAUCAAAGAGUAUUCUAAUAGAUUACUCAACAUUUCCAACAAUGUAAGAUUACUUGGCUCUGCAUUUCCUGAUUCUAGAUUGGUUAAAAAAAUUCUAGUAAUAGUCCCCGAAUGGUUUGAAACAACUAUUUCUGCACUGGAAAAUUCUAAGGAUUUGUCACAGAUUAGUUUGGUAGAACUGUUGAAUGCUUUGCAGGCACAAGAAUAGAGAAGACUUAUGAGGUCUGAAGGAUCUGUUAAGGGUGCACUACCUGCAAAAGCUCAAUCAAACCAGGGAGACCAAGGAAAGAAGAAGUGGAACAACAAGGAAAACUCAGGUUCUCAUUCUCCUGGGAUCCAUAGGGGAGCGAAACAUGAUUUUCCUCCUUACAAACAUUGUGGAAAGAAGGGUCAUCCACUGUUCAAAUGCAGGAGAAGGCCAGACCAACAUUGUGAGAAAUAUCAGCAGAUGGGACAUCAUCAGAAGGUUUGCAAGAACAACACUCAGCAAACUAAUACUGCACAAGUAGCUAAUCAGGAAGAUGAAGAGCAACUCAUUAUAGCAGUAGCUGCUCAAGUGACAAGUGGCUUAUUGAUAGUGGUUUCACAAAACACAUGACAUUUGAUCGUGAUCUCUUCAAGGAGUUGGAUACUUCAGUAAUUUCCAAAGUACAAGUUGGUAAUGGAGACUAUAUUUCUGCUGAAGGCAAAGGUACUGUGUAAAUGAAAUGCUCCUCAGGUACAAAACUAAUCAAAGAUGUGUUUUUUGUAUCUAAUAUUAGUCAUAGUCUGUUAAGUGUUGGCCAGAUGCUUGAGAAUGGUUUCAAACUUCUCUUUGAAUCCAAUUACUAUCAAAUCAAGGAUGAAAUGACAGAAACUUAUUCAAGGUAAUGAUGAAGGGAAACAGAUUUAUAUUGGAUCUUUUAGAUCAUGAGCAAAAAUCUUAUUCUGCAACUAAGAUCAAUGCACAAGUUUCACACAAAAGACUCAAACAUUUCAAUCAUGCUGUUGUAAUUAACUCACUAAAGAAAGAUCUGGUUCGAGGGCUGCCUAAUCUUGAAUCCGAAAUACCAGAUAGUUGAACUUGUCAAUUUGACAAGCAAGCAAGACUUUCUUUCAAGAAAGCAACCUAGAGAGCCACUGAAAAGCUAAAAUUAAUCCAUACAGAUCUGACUAGUCCUCACCAAACUCCGUCACUCAAAGGGAGCACUCUCCUCCAAAUAGGGCCCUAUGAGGUGCGAAUCCGUAUUAGUCGAACUCCAAUAUGGGUACCGGACACCGAAUAAAAAAAUUACUAUAAGACGGAUCUUCAAUAGGCAGAUAUGUUUACCAAAGCCUUGUCAAAGAGUAGAUUUGAAUUUCUCAGAGAAAGACUUAAAAUUUACAGCAACUGAAGCAAGGAUGAGUGUUGAUUAAUUGCCUCAGUUACUGCAGUAAAAGUUGAAGUAGUUGCUGGACAUUAUCCAUACUACAAGAAAAGUGCUUAUUACCUGGGAAUUUUCAUAGGGAUAAUGUAGUAAAAUCCCCAAGUAAUUUGAUUACCUGCGGAUUUUCUUACCAAUUAGAAUACAAAGGAAAUACGUUCAUAGGUAAUUAUUACCUGUGAAUUUAUAAAAUUUCUAGGUAAUUUAGCUACAAAAAUAAAUCUGCAGGUAUGUUAUUUGCGAAUUUAUUUGCGAUUAACUAUCAAAAUUUUGCAUGAAUUAUUUGAUAAAAUUUUAUAAAAAAGGAUUUUACCUGCGGAUUUCCAUGAAAAAAUUCACAAAUUAUUUCCCGCGAAGAUUCUCAAGUAAAUCCCUAGGUAAUUUAGUUGCGGAAAUAAAUCCGCAGGUAUGUUAUUUGCGGAUUUAUUUGCGUUUAACUAUCAAAAUUUUACAUGAAUUAUUUGGUAAAAUUUCAUAAAAAGGGAUUUCACCUGCGGAUUUCCACAAAAAAAACUCACAAAUUAUUCUCCAUGAACUAUUUCUCAAAAAAAUUCGUAUUAAAUGCUCAAAGUAAAUCCUCAAGAAUAAAUUUUUUCAAGAAAAUUUUCAUGAAUAUUUAGCAUGUACAUCCCCAUGAAAAUUCUCAACUAAUAAUUCACACGUAAAUUGCUAAAAACAUUUCACAAUUAAUCAAAAAUCUAUUCACAAUCUUCAAUGAUUCUCAAAAAUAUCAUUCAAUACAAGUCUAAUGUAAAUCAUUACAGCUAAUAAAAAAACAUAAUUCAAAACAUCCACAUCAAUAAUGUAUGAUUCUUAAAUAAUCCAAAAUAAAAUAUUCCAAACUUGAAUCCUCAAUAAAACUACCAACCAUCAAGGUCAAAAUCACUUUCAUCCAUGUUAUCAAGAUUAGAAUCACUUUCAUUCACGUAGUCAGAGUCAUCAUCACUUUCAUUCUCUUGGUUGUCUUCUUGAGAUGGGCGUUCAUCAUUUAACAAAUCCUUUAACUUCCAACAGUCGAGAAAGACCUCUCCACCACAAGAGGCCGCUUGUACUAAAUUUCUUGAUGCUACACCAAAAUACACAGAAGACAAAUGACAAGAUUAGAGUUGCAAUAGGAAAAAGGAAAAUACAAAAAGAGUAUAGGCAACAAUGUAGUAAAACAACAGAAACAUCUAUUUCAAUAAAAAUCUUGUUAUUCUCUUACAUUAAUUGAACAGGAAAUAGAAGAGUGGGGUUGAUAUUAUAAUUUUAUGUUACUAUACUUAACCAUUUUCAAGUAACUAAUUCACAUUUCAAGUAACUACACUACACCAUUUUCAAGUAACUAAUUCACACUUCACGUCGUACACUUAAGCAUUUUCAAGUCACUAGUACACAUUUCCAUUCACUACACUUAAUCAUUUUCAAAUAACUAAUUCACAUUUCAAGGCAUUAUACUUAACCCUUUUUAAGUUCACCUUUCAUGUAACUACACUAAACUAUUUUCAAGUCACUAAUCCAUUUCCCAAGUGAUAACAUUUGAUCAUUUUGAAGUCACUAGUACACAUUUCAAAACACUACACUUGAUCAUUAUAUACAGUUUUAAUUUAAGAUCACAAGAUUUCAAAAUGUUCUUCACUUUGUUAAACUUUGUUUUAAGUUAAACCAGACAAACAAAUUGAAAUGGAGUACUUAAUAUAACUUGACAGUAAUGAACAAUAAUGCACUACAUAGUCCUACCAGCCAACCACAUUACUAACUUACAUACAAAUUAACUUGACAGUAAUGAAACAUAAAGCACUUGUUAGUCCUACCAGUCAACCAUAUUACUAGCUUAAAUACAAAUUAACUUGAUAGUAAUGAACAAUAAUGCACUUUUUAGUCCUAUUAGUCAACCAUAUUAUUAUCUUAAAUACAAAUUUUUGAACACAAUCCUUUAUGUUCUGCCUCUUAUUUAUCUUUGUUAAAUGAGCUUGAAAUUGCAUAAAUGCUCGAGAUCCAAAAGUUGUACCAUAAUUCUAAAUUAUAGCAUAGAUACGAAAUCUGUAAACAAGAAAGUUGUCGAAUGACUUGGUUCACAGAGAACUCAAUAUUGGUAUCUAUUUAAACUGCAGGUAACACAAUGUCAAGUGAUGAUAAAACUUAAAAAGGCAUACAUGUACUCGAUGUGAAAACUAAUUAAUAACUUGAAACAAAAAAUAUAUAGAUGGUGGUACACUGGAGAUAUUCCUCUUAUUAUUGGGAGACGGUGUAUGGUGGCUCUAUGAUCAAGUGGUACGAAGGCCAUAGCCUGAUCCAAAACAUAAAGAGCCUUCUGAUUUUUUUCCAACUUACAAUACAUGGAGAAGCGCAUAACUAAGAACAUAUCUCCCGAAAAGAAUUUGUCUAGCAAAAAUGCAUCUAAGCUGAAGGUACACAAGCAUGCUCGUCAACUUAGGGCCAGUAAAGAUGCCAGACAUUCAAGUCGUACUUUGAUCAUCAUCUACAUUUGUGACUGGUGGACGGCGGGGAUAGUUGAAAAGGAGAAUGAAGGGAAGGCUGGAGUUGUUGUUUCCACCAUUGGUGGCGUUAGGAAAGGAGGCAGCGAAUACGGGGAGAGGAGCAGCAGAUCACCGGCACCUAAACCGUGGUGGUUGGAUAAAGUUAUUGAUUUCGCCAGCGGCGACAACUGGUGUUGAUGGUUGUGACGGCUGCAUAGCUAUUGUACAGCAGCGGCAAACCUUGGGGAGGAGAAAAAUGGUUUAACGGUGGUUGUCGGUGAAGGCGGUGGAGACAGCAUCAAUUAUUUUGGUUUUAGAGAGAGAGGAAGUGUAGAGAGAGGAAAAGAGAGAUGAUAGGGAGAUAAGCGGAUGUUUUUGGUGGAAAUAAGAUUAGGGUUUCUUGUUUUAUUUAAAAGGAGAGGAGUGAGAAAUUUGAUCUCAGUUGUUGAAUCGAUUUUGAUCAACGACUAAGAUUAAAGUUAUUUAAAAAGGGGUCAGAAAAAUGAAUUUCAAUUUGAGCUUAAAAUUGGUAUCAAUUUGGCUGUAAUUGUCAUUAAUUGGAUAAAAAAUUGGCUGAUAAUUUAACACUAAAAGGGAAAUUUAAUGUAAUUGACUGUUAUUUUAACAACAACAACAACAACAACAACAACAACAACAAUAAUAAUAAUAGACAAUGCUUUUGUAAAUCGUGAGUGUGCAUAUUUAUGAAAAAUAAUUUAAUGAAAUUAUGUAAAAUGUCUUAUCUCAACUAAUAAAUGGUAAAAAAUGAUACUAAAAAAUAAUAAAAUAAUUUAUUCAUUUUCUAAAUCAUGAAUGUGACUUGCCGAGAAUUAUUUGAUAGCAAAAUAAUGCGUAAACAGUAUUAAUAUUAAAAUUUAAGUAAUUUUGAUAAAAAUAGCAGUCUAAGAAAGCAUCGGGCGGUCAAAAUUGGGUGUCAACAACACUGAUUUGAUUGUGAGCUCAAAUCUUGAAAUAGUCUUUGUACAGAAUCUCCUAACGUUUUCACUUGAGGUCCAGGCUUCAGCAUGUUAACAUCACCCCAUUGGGAACAAGGAUCCAUCUUCCAACUCGUUCGACCAGUGCACCAUGCACCUGGUGUCAGAAAAUUGCAUCCACCGACGACUAUGCCUAGAGAGAGAAAGGGAGAGAAGAUAGAGAAAGAGCAGAGAGAUGCAACUAUUUUUGUUGAGAAUGAGAGAUUAGGAUUCUUUGAUGUAUAAAAGGAUGAGCGAAUCUCAGUCGCUGGAUCAUUUUUUAUCAACGAUUGAGAUAAAAAUUAUUUAAAAAAGGGUCAGAAAAUAAAAUUAAUGUUAAUACGGUUAAAAUUGACAUUAAUUGAGUACAAGAUGGCUACAAUUUAAAUAAAUUAGAAAAAUUAUUUCAAGUUAGGCUGUUAUUUAAUAAAUAUAGUAAGGUGUCACUAUUAAAAAUAGACAAUGCAUGUAGAAUUAAGAUUAUGUAAAAAAAAUACUUUACAAAAUUAUCGUUAAUAAUUUAAAAUAAAUUAGUUACAAAAUUUAAAAAUAAUAAUAGUUAUUAUAAUAAUAAUGAAAAUCAGACAAUGUAUUUGUAAAUUGUGAGUGUGCAUAUUUAUGAAAGAUGAUUUAAGUAAGAAAAUUAUGUAAAAUAUUGUAUUUGAAUUAAUAAAUUGUAAAAAAUAAUAAUAAAAUUAAUAAAAAUAAUUUGUAAAUAUUUAAAUCAUUAAUGUGACUCGUCGUUAUUUGGGUAGAGGUGUUAGUUAAUCUUGAAUUACUUAUUCAUCACUGAUGACCAUUAAUUUCUCGAUCUCAAUAACGAGUCAAGCUAAGAUUGAUGAUUAGCUCAAAUACAUCUUCGAUAUCAUAUUCAACUGCUUGAUUAGCUCGUGUGAGCUUUACAAGUAUUUUUAAAAUUGAGUCAAGCUAAGGUUUAGUCAGCUCGAAUUAAUAUCAAUUCUGACUCGUUAGCUUCUUGUUAUUGUUGUUGUUGUUGUUGUUGUCAAAUCAUGAAUGUGACACGUUAAUAUUUAUUUGAUAUCAAAAUAAUACGUAGAANNNNNNNNNNNNNNNNNNNNNNNNNNNNNNNNNNNNNNNNNNNNNNNNNNNNNNNNNNNNNNNNNNNNNNNNNAAAAUUGAGUCAAGCUAAGGUUUAUUCAGCUUGAAUUAAUAUCAAUUCUGACUAAAAUUGAUAUUAAUUGAAUAAGAAUUAGGCUAGACAUUACAUAAGCUGGGCAAAUUGAAUUGACUUAGGUUACUAUAUAAUAAAUGUAGGAAAGACGUAAUAAUAAUAUUAUAAUUAUUAUUAUUAUAACAAUAAUAAUAGACAAUGUUUGUAAAUUAUAGGCAUGUAUAAUUGCGGAAAUGAUUUAAUAAAUAUUAGCAAAAUUAUGUAAAAUAUUAUAUAAUGUAAAAAAUAAUAAUAUAAGAAUAAAUCGUAUAUUUUGAAAUCAUGAAUGUCACAUGAUAAUAUUUAUUUGAUAUCAAAAUAAUACGUAGAAAAUAUCAACAUUUAAAAUUAAUAAUUUUUCUAAAAUAGCAGGCUAAGAGGGGUAUCAGGAGGUCAAAAUUGAGUGUCAACACAACUAACCUGAUUUAUUCCCACAAAUUAGGCUCUGUGGAGGGUACAGUGUACGCAUACCUUACUGCUAAGGUAGAUAGGUUGUUUCCAAUAGACCCUCGGUUCAAGAAAAAUAGUCUGAAGCUGUCCAAUUUCAAGAAAUAUAUUAGUGAAAAUUGAUUUGAUAUUGGUCGUCGAUCAAAUAUGAUGAAUGAUUGAGAUUAGACUUGAGGAGAUAAGUCAAAUUGAGAUUAGAUAUUGGGUUAAAAAAAUUGAAUUGAGGAUUUCGAUUGAGUCAAAUUAAACUCAAUUGACAUAAAUUGAGUAUAAAAUGGCUAGAAUUUAAAUAAAUUAGAAAAAUUAAUUUGAAUUAGGUUGCUAUUUAAUAAAUAUAGUAACUAUAUAAAAUUAAAAUUAAAAACAAAUAUAACAAUAAUAAUAAUAAAUAAAUAUUGAUCAAUAGUUGAGAUCUAAAGAUUAAGAAUUUGGUUAAAAAUUGAAUGAAAUUUGAAGUUGAGUUCAAUUGGACACAAUUUGGGCUAGGAUUGUAAUAAAUUGGAUAAAAUUAGGCUAAAAUUGUUACAAAUUGGCAAAAUCAGACUAGGAAAUAAAUAAAUUAAAAAAUUAAAUUGACUAAGGUUGCGGAUUAAUACAAUAAUAAUAAUAACAAUAGUAAAAUAAAUAAUAUAAUUAUGCUCAGAUUAGUUAUGAAUAUAUUGUGUAACUAAAAGUACGACAUCUAAUAUAUUACUUUNNNNNNNNNNNNNNNNNNNNNNNNNNNNNNNNNNNNNNNNNNNNNNNNNNNNNNNNNNNNNNNNNNNNNNNNNNNNNNNNNNNNNNNNNNNNNNNNNNNNNNNNNNNNNUAUAUAUAUAUUUAUUUUAUAUAUUUAGUAUAAAUAAUGUUUUCUCAUUAUUUCUGUUCAUUUCAUCCAUGCUGAUUUAUUUAUAUUUGAAAAUAAAAAAUAGUUUUGAAAAAAAUUAUUUUUUUUAAAAGAAAAAUCACAAAUUUUAAAUGCCCUGUCAUGACAAAGAAAGACUCACUACUUUAAUCUUCAAAAUUAAAAUAAAAAUUUGAAAUAACUGAACCGAAUUUAUAGAAAUUGAAUCAAAUUGAAUUUAUGUUGGUCUGAUUACGGCUGUCAUUUUCGUCAAUUCGAAAAUCGAAAAAACAAAUCGAUAUUAAACAAGCAAAUCGAACAAAUAGAAUGUCCAUCCCUAAUCUCUUCAUAUAUACAAUUCUGAAACUACCUAAUACUUUCAAUGCAAUGUAAAAUAAAUUAAUUUUUUAUUUUAUUUCGUGAUUAUUAUACCUUAUAUCUCAUACCAAACAACUCCUAAAUGUACAUUAUAUUGAUAUAUUAUAUUAUCGUGCAUAGUAUGAUGCCUUACAAUUAUAUUUAAAUUAACCAAUAGAAAAACACACUCUAUUUGAGCCCUGAGUCGUUCUUCGCCUUAUCUUAGACCAACAAAAUUUCACAUCUUUAAUUUUUUGGUGAUAACAUAACGAGUCAAGCUAAGGUUUAUUUAGCUCGAAUACAUCUGUGACACCAUCUAUGUCAACAAACUAAUUUUAUUUUCUUGAGCAUCUUUCGCUUGAUCAUACGUGUCCACCAAUUUAAUGUCUGAUUUCUUUUUAUUUUAGGUUUCUUAUUCUUCAAGUUUAUCCUUUUCUUAUUUAAAUUUUUCAAGUCACAAAAUCCUACAUAAAUCUCCAAGAAAUAGUUUUAGCUAAAUUUGUAGCAACACAAUCCCCCAAUAAUUUCUCAAGUAAUAAUUUCGUAGGUAAAUCCACAAGAAAUAAUUUCAGCUAAAUUUGUAGCAACACAAUCCCCCAAUAAUUUCUCAAGUAAUAAUUUCGUAGGUAAAUCCCCAAGAAUAAAUCCCCAGCAAAAUUCGCAGAACAAAAUUCUCAAAUAAUUUCUCAGGUAAUAAAAUCCAUUAAAUAAAUUUUCACCAAAAUAUCUCUACAUAAAUCUGUAGGAUAAAUUAUCUGAAAAUUUUCCUAUGGAUUUAAAAAAUAUAUAUAUUUGUUUAUAUACUUGCGGAUUUACCUAGAGAUAAAAUACCCACUGACAUAUUUCCCCAGGUAAUGUCCCAAGUAAUAAUUUUGCAGGUAAAUUCCCAGCAAAAUUCAUAGCACAAAAUCCCCAAAUAAUUUUCUAGGUAAUAAAAUCCAUUACAUAAAUUUUCAGCAAAAUAUCUCUACGUAAAUUCAUAGGAUAAAUUACUUGGAAAUUUUUCUAUGGACUUAAAAAAUAUAUAUAUUUUUGUCCAUAUACCUGCGGAUUUACCUAGAGAUAAAAUACCUACUGAUACAUUUCUCCAGGUAAUAUCGCAAGUAAUAAUUUCACAGGUAAAUUCCCAAGAAUAAAUCCCCAGCAAAAUUUGCAACACAAAAUUCCCAAAUAAUUUCCUAGGUAAUAAAAUUCAUUACAUAAAUUUCCACCAAAAUAUCUCUAUGUAAAUCCGUAGGAUAAAUUACCUGAAAAUUUUUCUAUGGAUUUAAAAAAAUAUAUAUAUAUUUGUCCAUAUACCUGCAGAUUUACCUAGAGAUAAAAUACCUACGAUACAUUUCCCCAGGUAAUUUUGCAAGUACGAAAUUUGCGCAAUAUGACACCAAAUUUACCUGCAAAAUUUGUUGCAAAUAUAUAGUCCACAGGUAAUAUAUUUUAAUGUUGAGGAAUUUAAUAUUUUCGUAGGUAAAUCCACAUAUAUUUCCUGCGAUAUAUUUCUCUAGGUAUAAUUCCCAUGUAAUUUACAGUUUUCUAGUUGUGCCAGUUUUUUAGCCAUGUUGGACAUUAUCUAGUUUCUUUAAGCCUUGUUCUCUUAACUUAGUUUAGUGACUGAUUUUUAGACGUUAGUGAUUUAGUUGUUUUGGAUAUUGCUGAUCAUGGAAUCAUGUACAAAGUAAUGACUUAAUUAUAGGCUUUAGUUAUUGCAUUUAUUUUUAGUAUUUAAGCACCACUUCAGAUUAAUGAAAAAUCAACCUUUGUGCAGUAAAUUAUUUGUUUUCUUCUUUCUUUCUUUGUUUUCACUUCAAAGAGUUGAAGUUAACCUUAUAACUCCAACAAGAGUUAUGAAAUUUUUUGGUUAGGGUGAAUUUGGACAAAAUUUGAUUGUUGUGUAGUGUAGAGAUCCUUCGUGUCUUGUGGUGGUGGGUAUGUUGAUUUUAUAUGUGUGGUGUGAUAAAGACUUCAGUGAUAUAUAGAAAUUUAUGGGACUAAAUUUGGGUAUAUAGAAAUCCAUGUAUGGUGAUUGCCGCGAUAGAAUAAAUUUGUGUUGUUGAAAGACAAAGUAUGUGUUGCAAAAAAAAAGGGAAAUAUAAAAUAUCCAUGAGCUACUGUUUAGGCUCCGCUGUAGAGGCUUGGGCUUGCUACAACGGGACUGUUGUAGUGGUGGGAGGAUCAUUGUUGUAGUUCACAACUUAGGUGAAAAACUGCUAUAGCGGGGCUAUUGGCCGUUAUCGGUAUCACUAUAGCCAGUGGGGGACCACUAUAGUGGACGUCGGGCAGUUAAUUGCCUGAUUUUGAGUUUUGAUGUUAUUUUGUACUAAACACUUCCAAAAUUCAUGCUAGGGUUGUGUGAGGCAAUUUUCUCUAAUUUUGGGUGAUUUCCAUCAUUGAGGUAAGAUUUUUCCACCAUUCUUUCAUAGAUUAAUUCCUUUAAAUCACUAGAAUCAUGGUGUUAGGAAGAAAUUUAUAGGUUAAGCCCUAAAAAUGAUGAAUUGAAGUGAAUUGCCUGUGGGUAGGCUUAAACUCAGUGGUAAAUGGUUCUAGAUUGCUAGACUUAACUUCCUAACGUAAAAUUUAUCUUCUUUAACGUAAGUUAUGGGAAAAUUGUGUGGAUUAAAGGGUGAAAAACCUCAAAUUGAUGGAUGGUUUAGGUUCUGAACAAGGGCAAAACCUAUGGGUUUUAGUUACUAAUGGUUGUAAAUAGAGAAUAAGUUAUUAAUUUCUCCUUAUUUACUUUUUUUAGAUCAAGAAUAAACAGAAAAGACAAGAAAAGGAAAAACUUUGACAAAUUAGAGCAUUUCAAGUUUACAUUUGAGGUUGGUUAUGAUUUAAAUUAUAGUUAUAGAUUUAAUUUAGUUUUUCCGCCUAUCCAUGAGUUGAAUAAUUGUGAAUUGACCUUUAGACAUGCUUUUAUUGUUGAAUUGACUAGGCAAUUGAUUUCAUUCACAUAAACGAUGAACCUUGAAUUUGACUUAGUGUCUUGAUAAAUUGUGCUAUGGUAUAUUUGGUGCACUUCGUGAUAUUAUUAUUGAUAAUUUGUUGUGAUGUUCACAUAUUGUGAUAUCCGAAGGAUCAGGUACCACGUUGGAAGUAUUGCUUACAGUUUGAUAUUAGGAGGGAUGAGUGCCACACCUAUACGAUACAUGGACUGAGCUCGUCCCCGGUAGGUUAUGACUAUUGGACAUAUAAAACCUCUUGGUAUGUGUGCAAACUUUCAUGAUUAGGUUGAUGGCCAUGAUGCAUUGUUCAUAUCAUUCAUUGAUUGUAUGGUUGUUUUGUGUAAGUGUUGUGCCAAAUAGAAGUAGCUUAAGACUACUUGUGAGAUGACUAGAUGAGUUUACACGUGUGAUAAUUAGCAGGACAUAGGCUUUCACCUUAUUGUAAUUUAACUUAGCUUGAGAUGACAGUUUGAUGGUGUUAGUAAAAUGUUGGUUGUUCCAUUGUGUAUAAAUUAUGGAGUAAUUACUUGUAUAGAGGGGCGGCUCAACCCUUUCGAAGAAAAGACAGCUGCCUAAGGCCCCCAAAAGUUGCGGGCCUCAUAUUUUUUAAGUAAUAAUAAAUUAUAAAUUUUAAAAAAUAUAUUAAAUACUAUUUAUAAAGAAAAGAAACUUUUUAUAUAAAAAAUUUAGGAGUUUGAUAUAGUAAAAACUUUUUAAUGCAUUGACUAUAUUAUUAAUUCAAAAAGAAUUAUUAAAUACAAUUAUAUAAUUAUAAAAAUAGACUUUAUAAAAAUAAUUAUUUUUUCUUAAAAAUAUAAAGCCCACAUUUGAUUUUUGCCUUAAGCCAUGAAUUUGCUUGAGCCGCCCCUGCUUGUAUAUCUUGAUUGCUAGUUGCUCUUAUUUGAUUUAUUUAUUUAUGUUUAUGUAUGGUUUUUAUGUUAAGUCAGCCGAUGAUGCCUACUAUUACAUAGUGUUUGAACUGAUACUACUUGUGCUCUUCUUUUGUUGAGUGUAGAAAGUGUUCCAACGAUUGAGAUGAGGCCUCAAAUUUAGUUCAUCACCAAACUUAUCAAUCCAAGGGUGAGCACCUAUCUUUAAGAAGCUGUUGGAUUUUUUCAUUGAUCAUGUCACUCUUUCAGAUAAUGAUAUUUCUCUACUAGUUAAUUUUGAGAUACUUAUUCAAACUUCAAUUUUACGGUUUUAGAAUGUUCUUGCAUGAUGUCUUUCGGGUCUUGGGGAUUGUGGUAGAUAGUUGCUGGUUUUCCACACUUAUUAAUUAAUUGAUUAGUUUUGAAUUUUUUUAUUAUUAAAGUUGAUAUUAUGAUAUUCUGCCUUAAAAAUGGCUAAAUGACUAGGUUGAUAAAUGGGUUAAAAGGUUCUCCCAUCGAAAGAUUAGUGUGGGUGCCGCUCACGAUCAUUUGAAUCAUGACAGGUCCAGAGAAGGCAUGGUAUCUAUCUCCAGAAGGCUUUGAGUUACUUUGCAGAACCGACCUGUGAUAUUAUAAAAGAGGCAUUUGUCAAUAAGGUCGAGGGACUAUUCCAUCUGCUUUGUCGAUAAUUGGAACCUAUCAACAAUAGAAUUUUCAUAUCUUAUAUGACACUAAGAAGUUCAGAUUAGGA